GAUGAAGAACGUAGCGAAAUGCGAUAAGUAAUGUGAAUUGCAGAAUUCAGUGAAUCAUCGAAUCUUUGAACGCACAUUGCGCCCGUCAGUAUUCUGGCGGGCAUGCCUGUUCGAGCGUCAUUACGCCCCUCGAGUCCCCUGUGGACUUGGUGUUGGGGAUCGGCGAGGCUGGUUUUCCAGCACAGCCGUCCCUUAAAUUAAUUGGCGGUCUCGCCGUGGCCCUCCUCUGCGCAGUAGUAAAACACUCGCAACAGGAGCCCGGCGCGGUCCACUGCCGUAAAACCCCCCAACUUUUUAUAGUUGACCUCGAAUCAGGUAGGACUACCCGCUGAACUUAAGCAUAUCAAUAAGCGGAGGA
rnacentral:misc_RNA from 1 species